AAGUUUUAAAAACAGAAGAAAAUACAGAAGAACACGGAUUGAACUGCGUAUGAAGAAGGAGAGAAGAUGAAGUGAAGGAACCAAAGGAGAACGGAACUAGGUCCAGCAGCGGAGGAAUACGGUCUGACAGCAGCUCGGCUCGGUUCGGAAGUCCAUUGGACUGUGGUGCACCGCUGUCUCCAUUUGGACUCCUCUGCAGAGCCAGGGCUUUUAUUACGCUGGGUCAGGUGUUUAGUUUGCUGAGGUGUACAGAUAGAAGAUCCUGUCCAAGGCUGGUGAGUCCAAGCCUUAGAUCCACUGUGUUGAACCCU